GCGCGCAUAGCUCAAUGGUCAGAGCGCUCCCUUGACAUGGGAGAGGUUGUGGGUUCGAUUCCUACUGCGCGCACCG
rnacentral:tRNA from 3 species